GAUGAACGCUAGCUACAGGCUUAACACAUGCAAGUCGAGGGACCGGCGCACGGGUGAGUAACGCGUAUCCAACCUUCCCAUUACUGUGGGAUAACCUGCCGAAAGGCAGACUAAUACCGCAUAGUAAUGGAUGGGGAUGCGUCUUAUUAGCUUGGUGGCGGGGGAACGGCCCACCAAGGCGACGAUCAGUAGGGGUUCUGAGAGGAAGGUCCCCCAGAUCUGAACUGAGACACGGUCCAAACCCGUACGGGAGGCAGCAGUGAGGAAGACUGGUGACUGGACGUAAGUCUGAACCAGCCAAGUAGCGUGCAGGAGGACGGGGUAUUGGUUGUAUAUUGGUGUUGAAUGGGGAUAGGUACUAUACGAAUAAGGACCGGCUAAUUCCGUGCCAGCAGCCGCGGUAAUUC
rnacentral:rRNA from 1 species